rnacentral:lncRNA from 1 species
UGAUUCGUCAAUGCUGAUUGUCAGCUUGAAAGUAAAGAUGAGCAAAGUGGUUCAACUGAAUCUUAUGGUUGCAGUAGGGCAUAUUAGAAGUAAGUGACAAGUAUGUGUCAGCAAUUGUUUAUGCUUCUUAACCCUAGAUACUUUUGAUUCAAUCCUUUUGGUGAUGACGUAAUGUGGCAGAGAAACAGUAGACACACUUCAUCUCAUCGGAAACCCUGAAUGAUUGGUAUUUGUGAGCAUGUGUGCCUGUGAGUGUGUAAGGGUGGAUGUGGGUGUGUGGGUAUGUAUGUGCGUAUGUGAGGGUGUGCGUGUCAUCUUACACGUAAUUUAGUGAAUGAGUGAAUUGGUACUAGUUUUCAAGUAAAUACGUGCAUGAGUGCGUGUAGUCAGUGGUGUAUGGAACUAGCAUUGUGCCUGCCUGCUGCCAACGAAAUAUGCAAGCCCACACAGAGAAAACAGUUUUAUUGUGCAAAACUACAUGCUGCUGGCAGGGUUUACAUGCAAGUCACAUAUUGCAGGUCUACCAUAAGCAGAGCGAUGUGACAUCUGAUAAGUACCUAACUCACAGCAACACAUACUCUGCAUGUCCAGGGAAAGUGAGUUGUGCUCGGAACAGAUUGGCCAGACAGUUUUGUCCUAUCAAAUUCAGAAUUGUUUCAUCCUCCUCACAGUUGCCAUUAACAUCAUGAGCACACAUUAUUGCUAGAUCUGAAUGCCAGCUGCCUAUUGCACCGCUGGCACGUAGUUUGAGACAAAGAUGCCGCCAGUUUUCCACCUCGCUGCUGAUACAAUGCAAUACUGCUACAAAAUGUCCGUGUUCUGUGUUUUUUAGUGUUGUAUGUUUGUAUAUGAGUCUUGCGUCGUGUGAACAUUACCUACAUGAGUUAAAGUGUUCCCGCGAAAGUAGGUACUGAAUUAGCUCAAGCCAGGAUUGCGUUGCGGAUAUAUUUGUAGGCCAUACAAUGUUUUAUGGCGUCAUUUACGACAUUUCCUGUUUUUCUUGUCGUUGUAUGCACGUGAGUUGUGCCGCAUGUUGCGCUUGUAAAUCAUGUUCUCAAUGUCAUUUUCUUUUGGUACAAUUGGUCACCACUACACAUCACUCGCAUACACUCGCCCAAGCAAGUCGGAUAUCAAUCACUGUCCAGAAGUGCAUGAUGCAUUCAACCACGCAUAGAACACUGGCACACCAAGAACAUGAACUCACGCAAAAACGAGAGGGCUAUCACACGACUUCGCAUUGGACACACCGCUAUCACACACAACUACAUCAUCACAAGAAGCCCGAGACCGAAAUGCAACACCUGCAACACUUUCAUCACUGUCAAACAUCUGCUACUCACAUGCCCACAAUACCAACACCACAGGACACACAUACAAACAUACUGCAGAGACGCCAACAUCCCACUAACACUCACAACACUGCUCGGGGACUUACACCCCGAGCUAACAACACUACUCAUCCACUAAAGACACAACACUGGGCUGAUCAAUGACCUGUAAAUCUCCUCCCCUAGAGCCAAGGACAAAAAAGCCAAAAAAGCCAAAAAAAAAGAAGCAAAAAAGAAAAAACAAUAUUCAAAACAAUGAGAAUCAAAAUAAAAGACCCCAGAAUGGCAAAAUGGCAAAAAAAAAACAAAAACAAAAAAAAAUAAUAGAAGGGGCAAUCCGGCUACCCGGGAGGAGAUAGCUAGGAACCCAGUCCCACCCCUCAGCCCACCCUUACGAGCCAAGAAGACAACGGACACUUCAAGGCAACGGACGGACCAACAACGAAGACGGACGACAGAACCGGGCCCAAAUACAGGACGCUGUGGUGGCCCGUAAGCUACAAAUACCAUACCAUACCAUACCAGUGCAUCAUGCAUCAGAAUAAGCUUCAUUGAACACACUCGUCAUCAUGAACGGCAUCUAGGAGUUUCAUGAGUUUGGAUCUGUGACCAGCUGAUUUCGCAGUAUCCAAUGGCAACCGUGUAUGACCAGGCGCCGCUUGGACGCCUUGUCCAGUCACGUCUUCUGGGACUGUGUGAUGACUGCCUCUGCAUUCUCAAGUGCCAGUUUCUGCCUCCGGCCCAUUUCAUUAUCAAAGGAUGCUGUUAGCUUAACGAACAGCUCUGCUCCAAGAUUCCAAACGGUUUUACGGUACUGUAUGCCUACAAAACGUUAAUAUUUUUUGGAGGCGGUAAUACUCGGAUGAACUGACCUUUAUGGGUGGGUAUUCAACGUUGAAUAAAGUAGGCUUGUAGCCCUCUGCCUAUUGACUUCUAAGGGUUUUAGUAAUAUUUAUCGAAUAUCUCAUCUGAUAUGCAUUUUCACUCACAGUCGUCGAAAUCGAAAAAUCAUAAGCUUAGAAAUCCGCGGACUUGACAUAUUAUAUUUUAUCGACGAUUCGUUUCGACUUGCUGUCAUGUCAGCUAAUCAUCCGUUGCUUCUCCUAUUUUCACAGGUGCAUUACCUGUCAUCUUUACCGUCGAUACCGUUGAAGAUUUUACCGUCGAUCACGGAGCACCCAUUGCGCUGGCCGUUGCUGGCACUUUUUUAUUUGUCACUAGCUAUUAGUUAUCUGCAGAUAUACAUUAGCCACCUGUACACCCGCUUACACUAGCUCUCAUCAUCUAGUUCUACGUAUGUGUGUGUUUGUUUUAAUUGUAUUGCCGAUGAAUUCGGUAGACAUGCUCCGCCCGCAAACAUGUACCACAUGAUGCAGUUCACUGAAUGUAGCAGUUAAUCACUCGUAAAAAGCGGUCAUGUUUUCGUAUAGUGUAGGUAUGCAUCUAUGUAAGCAUGUGUUCACACUCAUGAGCGAUCCACACAUGAUAUUGCAUUUCCUGUUCAGUUAUAUUUUUAGCACUGGAACACGAUGCUCAUACACUGUGUUGUUAUCUUUCUUUUUUCGCCUGCUCCUUCCUCCAACUUGUGUCUUUGAGUAUUUCAGUCACAUGCUCAAACGUUCUUAAAUGCUCUCGCCAUCGGUUUACGGAUGCGUUGAAAACGGACAUGUGAUGACCAAAUUUAACAAUAUGCGGACAAUGGAUCGACUUCUUGAAGCCUGUGGACGUGAUAGACCUUCUCCAUCACCAUCAAGAGAUCAACAUUUUCGAAGACACUUGCGUACGGCUGCAGUGUCCGGCGCAAUGCUGAAUGCGACCUGUUAUCUGUUGGAUCUACUCUGUGAGCCCGAACCCCAGUGCAAGCCUCGGCUGCAGCACAAGCCACAUUCAUCGGCCCAAUCAUCAGUUAUUCAUCCUGCAAGUUUUAAGUCACUUCGUUGUGACCCGGACAUCGUCAUCUUUCAACGAGUUCAAAUGAUUAUUUCAUUCAUCAUCGUCGAUCAGACUCAUCAUGUAAAGACACUUCCAUAAUGCUAGCCGCCAUCUACGUUUGUGCAGGAAGCAAAUAUCAGGUUGUUAUUAGCUGCGGGCUACUCAGUACCGACUGAACUACUGGCAGUAGUGUGCGAGCACCUAAUACUUGUAUUGUGAUACCAAAGCUAAAACGGAUGAUAGCUUAGCGCAUAGGGCCCUACCGCUUUCCACACACACACACACAAACAAAACUUGACUUUGGGCAUUAGCACCAUGGCAGGAUAAACAGGCAGUUUCGCUGUUUUUCACUGCUUUCAUUGGCAGGUGUUACUGCUCAUUCCCGUUUUAUGUGAUGUUAGAACAGCCCUUCACCAUAGUCCUGUUUUCUCCUUUGCCGUUUUCCAUAGACAUCAGAUGCGACAUGCACUCCAACGAUCGGUCAGGCGCAUCACCGUCAAUCCGGUCGCCUGUUAAGCAGUUCGUAAUCACCGUCAGUCUUCGACAUCUGUCAACACACUUAUCCACAUUAUCGCCUUACUUUUGAUCUUAUCAAUAUGCAAGAAUGAGUGCAAAAUGCAUUCCAAUAUUGCAUCAGUUGAUGUUGUAUCGCAAUGACACCGCGUCCUCACCUCACAUCUGUUGUGCAUACUUGAUCACGAAUGCCAGUUAUACGCAGAUUCACAUGGUGAAGUUUUACUCCGUUGACGUUUUCUUUCCAUUCUUGUAGUCGAUCAAGAGGGAUUACAGUUGCACAUGCGGCCUUACACAUGCGUCCUUACAUGUUAGCUGAUUGAUAUGUUGGACACACUGGUUCCUGUGACUCCAAGUAGUUCUGCAUUGGUAUUGCUUCACUUUAUAUGUUCUACCCAAAGAUCGUUUCUAGUUUUGUCUUAGCUUGCAGCUGUAUGCCAUGAACAUACAGGGUACUGCGCAUCUUUACCGUGACAUUCCUGUAGUUUCGUCACUUUCGCGGAUGAUUAGGACCAUGAGCUCAGUUGCAGAUGCGUCCAGCAGCCACCGACAUUUCUACACUUUAAAUUCCUAGUCUCGGAUCUUAUCCACAUACCAACAUGAUUUGAACAUUUCACACGUUUAGUGAUGAAAUGAGCAGGUAUCAUCUACUACAUUAUAUUUUCAUGUAAAGCACACUCCAGUCUGUGAAAAAAGAAAACCAUUAGGAGCAACAAUCAUGCCUUAGACAGUAUAGUUGCCAUAGAUAUUACGUUGUGCAGCGGGCAGGCCGGUGCACGAAAUGGCGAGUGUGAAUGCAGGAAUGCGUGUGAAAAACUGCCUAGGUGUGGAGUGGCUGGUUUGUCUUCCGUUACAUCGUAACGGGCUCUUGACGUAGUCUUUUUUUAGUAACACCAAUCAUCUUUCGAACUUGAAUUAACGUAAUUGAAAGAUGGCUAUCACAUUUGGAGCCAACUUAUUUGCUAAUUGCGUCAAGGGCGGGCAGCGCGGUGCGUGGAUGCCUUUUGGUAAAGCUCACGUCCUAAUAUACUAUCCUGCCCUUACCAAGCGUGCAUCCAUGUUUCCUCCAUCCGGCUCCUCGUGCCGCUGCCUGGAAUAUUAGCCUACGGCUAAUAUACCAAGAGAUGGAAAACUUUUCGUUGGUAUGGAAUAUGGAUGCCUCGUGGUUCAACUGGUGAUGUUCAAAACAACUGUACCGUGUGUCAGGUAGGUCUU